rnacentral:rRNA from 1 species
CGUAGAUGGCAAGCGUUGUCCGGAUUUAUUGGGCGUAAAGCGAGUGCAGGCGGUUCUUUAAGUCUGAUGUGAAAGCCCCUGGCUUAACCAGGGAGGGUCAUUGGAAACUGGAGGACUUGAGUGCAGAAGAGGAAAGUGGAAUUCCAUGUGUAGCGGUGAAAUGCGUAGAUAUAUGGAGGAACACCAGUGGCGAAGGCGACUUUCUGGUCUGUAACUGACGCUGAGACUCGAAAGCAUGGGGAGCAAACAGGAUU